rnacentral:rRNA from 1 species
CCGCACGGGUGAGUAACACGUAUCCAACCUGCCGUCUACUCUUGGACAGCCUUCUGAAAGGAAGAUUAAUACAAGAUGGCAUCAUGAGUCCGCAUGUUCACAUGAUUAAAGGUAUUCCGGUAGACGAUGGGGAUGCGUUCCAUUAGAUAGUAGGCGGGGUAACGGCCCACCUAGUCUUCGAUGGAUAGGGGUUCUGAGAGGAAGGUCCCCCACAUUGGAACCGAGACACGGUCCAA